rnacentral:rRNA from 1 species
CUCGAAAAGGACGGGUCCCGCGACGCAGUCUCCGCCGUGCCGGACGCACUUCUCCCCGCACUCUGGACGCCGCAUCGGAUCGGGUAGCUGCGAGAGUCGGCCUUGAGGCGGUUCCWGGCAGGUGACCGGGCGCUGGGCUCCGUGCCCUUCGUCCGGUUAUUCACGGGACCGUUCGUGGCGCGACACCCGAUCGAGGUCAGGGUUCCCCUCACGGGGAACGCACCGUCUCCGUCUCCUUGGCGCGGUGCCGAGGCCAGUGAGCGCCGGCGAUGCCGAACCACUCCCCGUAGUGGCCGGUUCGACGGUUGCCGCCCAUGGGUCUCGGUCGACCGCUGGAGACACGGUAGCGGUUAGCGGCGAGUAGGUCGGUCACCCACCCGACCCGUCUUGAAACACGGACCAAGGAGUCURACAUGUGCGCGAGUCGCANGGUCUUGAACAGGCCCUCGRGCGCAAUGAAAGUGAAGGUCCCUCGCRGACCGAGUUGGGACUCCCUUC